AUGCUGAGAUAUAGAGAUUCACUUCAGAGGCUAUAUCCUUGCUCAGAGAGAACACUACGAGGAUGAUUCAGGUUAUCACUGUAGUGAGGGAUGAUUGGAGCUAGCCACUUGGAGAUACUAGACCUCCCUCUCCACCUAGCUAGCCUGGACCUUCUUAGGACUAUUCUUCACUUAGGAUGCUAGGAUUCAUUCCUUAGAGCAAUAGUGCCCCU
rnacentral:lncRNA from 1 species